rnacentral:lncRNA from 1 species
AGCAAAACUUCUUCCCUCUGCAUCUGGGAUUCCAUUUUAUGGUUUUGGAGAGUCUACUACACUGAACAAAAUGAAAGAGUAGAGUCUGAGGUGGUGUUUCACUUAGUGAAGAAAGAUACAUAAAAGCAAGGGAAACACCCAUAUGUGGAAUUUAAAACAAGGAAACAAAGAAACAAGGAAAGAAGGAAAGCUGAACACCCUCAAGUUGUAAUUUCGCUUCUGUUAUGAAUCGUAGUCGGGAAUCAUUUUGGAGACUGAAGUUUGUCAAAGGGAUCAUGAUCCACACACAGGUUGUGAACCGCAGCUCUAACCGGUUGGUGGCAAGAUAUAUUUGG